rnacentral:rRNA from 1 species
ACGAACGCUGGCGGCGUGCCUAAUACAUGCCAGUUGAGCGAUGAAGAUUGGUGCUUGCACCAAUUUGAAGAGCAGCGAACGGGUGAGUAACGCGUGGGGAAUCUGCCUUUGAGCGGGGGACAACAUUUGGAAACGAAUGCUAAUACCGCAUAACAACUUUAAACAUAAGUUUUAAGUUUGAAAGAUGCAAUUGCAUCACUCAAAGAUGAUCCCGCGUUGUAUUAGCUAGUUGGUGAGGUAAAGGCUCACCAAGGCGAUGAUACAUAGCCGACCUGAGAGGGUGAUCGGCCACAUUGGGACUGAGACACGGCCCAAACUCCUACGGGAGGCAGCAGUAGGGAAUCUUCGGCAAUGGACGAAAGUCUGACCGAGCAACGCCGCGUGAGUGAAGAAGGUUUUCGGAUCGUAAAACUCUGUUGGUAGAGAAGAACGUUGGUGAGAGUGGAAAGCUCAUCAAGUGACGGUAACUACCCAGAAAGGGACGGCUAACUACGU